UAGUCCACGCCGUAAACGAUGAGCACUAGUUAUUAGGAUGGUUACAUUUUAGUGACGUAGCUAACGCAUUAAGUGCUCCGCCUGGGGAGUACGGUCGCAAGACUAAAACUCAAAGGAAUUGACGGGGGCCCGCACAAGCGGUGGAUUAUGUGGUUUAAUUCGAAGCAACGCGCAAAACCUUACCUGGGUUUGAAAUCCUGAGAACCUUCCAUAACUGGAGGGGUGCCCUUCGGGGAAUUCAGUGACAGGCGCUGCAUGGCUGUCGUCAGCUCGUGUUGUGAAAUGUUGGGUUAAGUCUCGCAACGAGCGGAACCCCUGUCCUUAGUUGCCAGCAUUAAGUUGGGCACUCUAGGGAGACCGCCGGGGUUAACCCGGAGGAAGGUGGGGAUGACGUCAAGUCCUCAUGGCCCUUAUAUCCAGGGCUACACACGUAAUACAAUGGUUGAUACAGAGGGAAGCGGAAUCGCGAGAUCGAGCCAAUCUCAAAAAGUCAAUCUCAGUCCGGAUUGAAGUCUGCAACUCGACUU
rnacentral:rRNA from 1 species